CGUUAUCCAAAAAUGCAUCAAAAAAGUAAAAUCACGAAAAUACUGAACUCCGAGGAAAAUUCAAAACGGAAAGUCCCUAACCAAACGGCAAAAUCAACGGAUAAAACACAUCAAACGAAUGGACAACAACUUUCAUAUUCCUUACUUGGUACAGGCAUUUUAAAAUGUAGAAAAUGAUGGAUUGAACCUGGUUUUAUAGCGCUAAACCUCUUACUUUUCUGACAGUCGUAUCACAUAAAAUAUCCAUUGUAUGUAUAGUCGUCUUCCAAACAUGUGCACUGACAAUUUAAUUUCUAUUUUUUCUUUGUCAUUUGAAAUUUGAAAUUCGUUAGUUUUAACUUGUUCAUGG
rnacentral:lncRNA from 1 species